UGGAAAAAAAGGAAGUAGAAUCAGUGAGAAUGACAAAAGAUGGAAGAAUAUCCACAGUUGAGUUUCUUUUUCAAAAAUCUGUUCCUUGUCUUGCAAUGAAUAUAUCAACAGUUAUCCACUCUGUGGCAAAUAAAAGCUUUUGGUUUCUUGUUAAGAUGUUCCCCUUCAUGCUGUUGAUGAUUUUUGGCAUUGCUGGCUUUCCAUCAGUGUUUCACAGUUGCCAGAUUCCUAAUCUGGGAAUAUAUCCCUUAAAAAUAUAGAAGAAAUGAAAAUAUAGAGAAGUUGAAAUAUAGAAGGAAAAAUGGAUUAAAAUUAUGGAAAUGAAGAUACUGAAAAGAAGUAAAGUUUGUUUACCAUAAAGACAGGGAUGGGAUCUCUUCCACCUGUAUCUCCCCAUAUCUGUCAACAACAGAAAAGCAAUUCCUGAGAUAAAUUCGAAAUCUUUUCCAAAGAUGAUAUAAAGAAAUGUACAUACAAGAAAUUUUCAUUGAGAAGAUUUGAAUUUGAAAUCUUAUCAUCAUCAUAUGCUUUGAUUUUAAUUCCUC
rnacentral:lncRNA from 1 species